AGGACGAACGCUGGCGGCGUGCUUAACACAUGCAAGUCGAGCGGAAAGGCCCUUCGGGGUACUCGAGCGGCGAACGGGUGAGUAACACGUGAGCAAUCUGCCCCUAGCUUCGGGAUAGCUCCGGGAAACCGGAAUUAAUACCGAAUAUUACUACGGCCGACAUCGGCUGUGGUGGAAAGUUUUUCGGCCAGGGUGGGCUCGCGGCCUAUCAGCUUGGUUGGGGGGGUGACGGCCCACCGAAGGCGACGACGGGUAGCCGG
rnacentral:rRNA from 1 species